UCGUGGGGGACCGAAGCCGAGAGCAUGGAAAAGCUCGGGGAGGACGUGUGGGUAGCGGUGAGAAUCCAAGCAAUCCCGGAGAUAGAAGCUUCUCGCCGACAUAGCUUUAGGGCUAGCCUCAAGGUGAGAGAUACGGAGGUAGAGCACUGAAUGACCUAGGGGGUAUUGCACCUACGGAAGACUAUCAAACUCCGAAUGCCGUCAUCUUAUACUUAGGAGUCAGACUGUGGGUGAUAAGAUUCAUAGUCGAAAGGGCAACAGCCCAGAUCGUCAGCUAAGGUCCCUAAAUGUAAGUUAAGUGGUAAAGGAUGUGGGAUUGCACCGCCAACCAGGAUGUUGGCUUAGUAUCAGCCACUCAUUCAAAGAGUGCCUAAUAGCCCCCUGGUCGAGUUAUCCUUCCCCGAAUGUGUCCUGGGCCAAACCUUACACCCACAGCUUCCGCAUCAGUUAUG
rnacentral:rRNA from 1 species